rnacentral:rRNA from 1 species
AUUGAACGUUGGCGGCAGGCUUAACACAUGCAAGUCGAACGAGAAAGCACCUUCGGGUGUGAGUAAAGUGGCGGACGGGUGAGUAACGCGUAGGAAUAUGCCCAGUAGUGGGGGACAACUCGGGGAAACUCGAGCUAAUACCGCAUACGCUCCUCUUCUUUGAGGAGGAGGAAAGUGGGGGAUCUUCGGACCUCACGCUAUUGGAGUAGCCUGCGUUGGAUUAGCUAGUUGGUAGGGUAAAGGCCUACCAAGGCGACGAUCUAUAGCUGGUCUGAGAGGACGAUCAGCCACACUGGAACUGAGACACGGUCCAGACUCCUACGGGAGGCAGCAGUGGGGAAUCUUGGGCAAUGGGCGCAAGCCUGACCCAGCCAUGCCGCGUGUGUGAAGAAGGCCUUCGGGUUGUAAAGCACUUUCACCCGUGAAGAUGAUGACGGUAGCGGGAGAAGAAGCCCCGGCUAACUCCGUG